AGCCUCUGCAGUGACACUUUCUCAAACAGUCUUGGGAAGAAAGAGCAUUUCAAAUCGAGACGCAAUAUGCUAUCUACAGCACCACUGAUGCAUCAAGGUAUUGUGCAGAAAGGGUGCCUGUUGACGGCCAAUCCGUGAGAGUGACAGGCUUCCAGGAAUUCUCGAGAGGUCAUGGAUCAAAGAAUAAAAAUUGUCUACUUGGUUCAGAACCCUGAGAAGCAGACGCAAAAUAACUUCUCAAGCAAACUCAUGUGUGCUCAGAAUUAAAGAACAGGCUGCUUUUAAACCACAAGGUACUUUGGAGAAUAGUUUGACUCCCUCUUCUUUGUGGCAGCCCCUGAGAUAUUGGAACACUGCUAUCAUGUCUCCUCUAGUCCUUCUUUUCAUUAAACUGCUGCAUAUUCCUAAAGUUACAUAAUGUUAGAGUUCCCUGUCCUGUUCUCCUUGGAUUUCUAUCCUUGAGGAUUUUAGCUGCAGGAAAAAAGAUUUCAAGUUUUCACACUGAAAAAGAACAGCACAGUGAGCCAUGUUCAGAUCUGUACAUUGGGAAAACAAAACAACCACUUCAUAAACUCAUGGCACAACAUAGGAGA